UAAAUACUACCUUUGUCUCAAAAUUCUUCUCUUAGAUUUGUCUAAAUACGGAUGUACCUAAUACUAAAAUGUGAUUUGAUACAUCCAUAUUUAGACAAAUCUAAAACAAGAAUUUUAAGACGGAGGGAGUACAUC
rfam:Triticum urartu cultivar G1812 contig1245753, whole genome shotgun sequence.